GGAGCAAGCGUUGUUCGGAUUUACUGGGCGUAAAGGGCGCGUAGGCGGUCGUGACAAGUCACUUGUGAAAUCUCCGGGCUUAACUCGGAACGGUCAAGUGAUACUGUCGGACUAGAGUACAGAAGGGGCAACUGGAAUUCUCGGUGUAGCGGUGAAAUGCGUAGAUAUCGAGAGGAACACCUGCGGCGAAGGCGGGUUGCUGGGCUGAUACUGACGCUGAGGCGCGAAAGCCAGGGGAGCGAACGGG
rnacentral:rRNA from 1 species